AUCUUGCUGGAGAUCCCUGCCUAUCUGGGGCCUUCCCAAGCAUUACAGGACCUAAAAAGGUUGUGCAUCUCAGUGCUAUUAGUGUGUCCCUAAUCACAGUGUGUAACUUCAAAACGUAUGCUGAGGUUUCAUCAUUCCUCCAGAAAUUAUGCUAUGAGCAGUCACUUGAGACAGAGAGAAAUGCUGCAAGCUGAGGUUUGUGUACAUAUGUGCUAAUUUGUAAAGGUGUGGUACUGACCUACUUCCAAAAGCUCCUGGAAAGGCUUACAGGAAGUGCUGAGGAGGAAAGUCACAAAGCUACAGCUUUGCUCCAGCAGGAAGCAAGAGCCACACAAGAAUCCCUAAGUAUUCAGCAGUGCCAAGUCAACAGGAGGCCACCUGAGGAACACAGAACACUGCUCCUUCCUUGUGGAGGCUGAGGAAACAUGGUCCAGGGGACAAUAUCAAAAUCAGGACCUAACCAGAUACACCAGCAAGGUGGCCCUGUUCCUGGCUUUCAGCAGCUGGGAAGCAACAGAGAGCCAGAGGGGAGUGGAAUGCAAGGAAGAACAGCACUGAGGAGGAGCUCAGUAGGAUGCGCAUCGACUCUGUACAGAACUGAUGACACAGGAUUAGCCAAACUCCUAGGUUGUGCAUGGUUUUUCUUUCCCAUUCCUCACUGUUCUGUAUCACGCAAAUUGAUUUCAGUAUGGAUUUCCCAUUAGCUCCAUGACAGCACAACUUUUACAAGCCUGGCACUUUCUAGAGAGAUUCUACCCCGCCGCCUGCCUCAAUAACACCAUUCUGCAUUGGACACCAAGCCUUUGUGUUUCUGGGUAUGUUUCAAGCGAGAUGUUUUGGGUUGGCUUUAACCCAUUCCCUAAAAAAAACAAUGUGAAUAAGCAGGAAAUUAAAUUGGCCAGUCCAGUUUGGCUGCCUAGCUACCUGAACCACACAAACCAAACAGUUUUGAGACUACAGCUGAAACAUAUCUAAUCUUAUCAGGACUUCUGUGAAAGCACCCUUUAAGUCAGUACCCUUACAGGUCAAAUAAAGGGCACCUUACAAACACACAUAUAGAGGGGCUUUCAUUCAGAAACCCUCCUUAGAGCAGGAGGGCCCCAAGCUGCCUUUGAACCACAGCAGUGAAUGCAGAAGGUAGGUCUAGGUGCAGUCAUUUAAAAAUAGAUUCCAAUGAAGGAGCCACUCAAAGCAGACAGCAGCCUUCCAUCCUGUCAUCGUUAUGAGACUGUUUCCCUUGUUGCUUGUGUGUCUGAUGUUGGCAAAGACCCUUCAAUAAAUGGGAGAGCUUGGCCAAGUGAUGGGGCUUGCUGAUUAGCUGCAGCCCAGCUGCUGUUCAGAACACAGUAUGUGAACUGUCCCUUCUGCCACAGCUCCACACUCGCUACCCGCUGCACCGAGAGGGAGCUCUUGUCUCCUCUUCCUCUUCUAGGGCAUAAGCCUACGCUACGUUUAACUGAAACCAACACAGCUCAAGCUCCCGUUUCCUUCCACCAGCUCAGAUCUAAAAUGAUCCUUCACAGUGAGACCUGAAGGAGAGAAAGAAUGUGGCAUAAACACUGCAUCAUCCCUCUCACCAGCUUCCCUGCCGAGCUGGCUCGGACACCCUUAGUCACUCUCUCCAUGAACUAGCUCACUGCAUUCCUCAGCUCUGGGA